AUGAACGCUGGCGGCGUGCCUAAUACCUGCCAGUUGCGCGAACAGACGAGGAGCUUGCUCCUCUGACGUUAGCGGCGGACGGGUGAGUAACACGUGGAUAACCUACCUAUAAGACUGGGAUAACUUCGGGAAACCGGAGCUAAUACCGGAUAAUAUAUUGAACCGCAUGGUUCAAUAGUGAAAGACGGUUUUGCUGUCACUUAUAGAUGGAUCCGCGCCGCAUUAGCUAGUUGGUAAGGUAACGGCUUACCAAGGCAACGAUGCGUAGCCGACCUGAGAGGGUGAUCGGCCACACUGGAACUGAGACACGGUCCAGACUCCUACGGGAGGCAGCAGUAGGGAAUCUUCCGCAAUGGGCGAAAGCCUGACGGAGCAACGCCGCGUGAGUGAUGAAGGUCUUCGGAUCGUAAAACUCUGUUAUUAGGGAAGAACAAAUGUGUAAGUAACUAUGCACGUCUUGACGGUACCUAAUCAGAAAGCCACGGCUAACUACGUG
rnacentral:rRNA from 1 species